rnacentral:rRNA from 1 species
GUGGGGAAUCUUGCGCAAUGGGCGAAAGCCUGACGCAGCCAUGCCGCGUGAAUGAUGAAGGUCUUAGGAUUGUAAAAUUCUUUCACCGGGGACGAUAAUGACGGUACCCGGAGAAGAAGCCCCGGCUAACUUCGUGCCAGCAGCCGCGGUAAUACGAAGGGGGCUAGCGUUGCUCGGAAUUACUGGGCGUAAAGGGCGCGUAGGCGGACAGUUUAGUCAGAGGUGAAAGCCCAGGGCUCAACCUUGGAAUUGCCUUUGAUACUGACUGUCUUGAGUACGGGAGAGGUGAGUGGAACUCCGAGUGUAGAGGUGAAAUUCGUAGAUAUUCGGAAGAACACCAGUGGCGAAGGCGACUCAAUGGCCCGUUACUGACGCUGAGGCGCGAAAGCGUGGGGAGCAAACAGGAUUAGAUACCCUUGUAGUCC